rnacentral:rRNA from 1 species
GAUGAACGCUGGCGGCGUGCCUAAUACAUGCAAGUCGAGCGAAUGGAUUGAGAGCUUGCUCUUAUGAAGUUAGCGGCGGACGGGUGAGUAACACGUGGGUAACCUGCCCAUAAGACUGGGAUAACUCCGGGAAACCGGGGCUAAUACCGGAUAACAUUUUGAACUGCAUGGUUCGAAAUUGAAAGGCGGCUUCGGCUGUCACUUAUGGAUGGACCCGCGUCGCAUUAGCUAGUUGGUGAGGUAACGGCUCACCAAGGCAACGAUGCGUAGCCGACCUGAGAGGGUGAUCGGCCACACUGGGACUGAGACACGGCCCAGACUCCUACGGGAGGCAGCAGUAGGGAAUCUUCCGCAAUGGACGAAAGUCUGACGGAGCAACGCCGCGUGAGUGAUGAAGGCUUUCGGGUCGUAAAACUCUGUUGUUAGGGAAGAACAAGUGUUAGUUGAAUAAGCUGGCACCUUGACGGUACCUAACCAGAAAGCCACGGCUAACUACGUGCCAGCAGCCGCCGUAA